UACGAGGGGGGCAAGCGUUGUUCGGAAUUAUUGGGCGUAAAGGGUGCGUAGGCGGUCUGAUAAGUCAUCUGUGAAAUCUAUGGGCUCAACCCAUAGUCUGCAGGCGAAACUGUCGGGCUUGAGUAUGGGAGAGGUGAGUGGAAUUUCCGGUGUAGCGGUGAAAUGCGUAGAUAUCGGAAGGAACACCUGUGGCGAAGGCGAGUCUCUGGACAUUUCCUGACGCUGAGGCACGAAAGCCAGGGGAGCAAACGGG
rnacentral:rRNA from 1 species